UUCCGAAAUCCGGCUCGCGGGCGCAGGGAUGGUCCGGAAUCGUUCCCUUUGUUAGGGUUUUGUUUCCGUAUCGUCUCGCCGUCUCACUCAUCACUUUUAAGCUUCCCAGAGGGCGGGAGAACCAAGCCACCUCAAUUCUUCCCCCCCUCCCUCCUUUCUCUCACUCGCUCCGGCGAUGCCGUCCAUCGGAGUCCGGCACCUUACGGUGCUGGGGGAAUUCAAGCCCUUUGGCCUGAUCGCCGAGGUGCUGGACGGGAAGCCAUCCGAGAACGCGCCGGAGAAGUACGACUACUUCCUGUUCGACCCGGAUGUCGCUCGCGAGAGGGACGACCCACUCGCCGCCGAUCUCGAUUUUUCCACCUCCUCUACCUCCGCCGACCGCAGCGAUCACGAGCUCUUCAUCCGUGGAAACCGGAUAAUAUGGAGCACAGGUUCCAGAGUUCACAAAAGAUACACCUCUCCUAAUACAAUCCUCAUGGCUUGCUGGUGUCGCAUGGAUGCUAUUUCAGAUGCGCUUCUCUGUGUUCUACAAAUUGACACUGUAUCCAUAUACAGUGCAUCAGGUGAGGUGGUUUGUAUCCCUCUUCCAUAUGCUGUUGCAUCGAUAUGGCCCCUUCCAUCUGGUCUUCUGCUUCAGAAGUCAGCAGACGGGAAUCGUCCAAUAUCAUCUUCAAGCUCGCUGCUAAAUGCGAGGGAUUUAUCUCGUCCAUGCAAAGAAUAUGGGUUGAGCCACCAUUCUACUCGUCAAAUCUAUUCUUUCGAGCCAGUUAUUAAGGAAAGUGGGGCUAUGUUGUCAUCACACUUGAUAUUAAAACAUCCAAUGGAAGAACCUCAGGCAGCAUAUUUGGAAGAAAGGGGAAAAUUGAGCAUCAUGAAAGAUUUUGAGGAAAAGACUAUCUGGACCAGUGAUGUUAUACCUUUGAUGGCAUCAUAUCAUAAAGGCAAGUUGCAACAUUCAGUUUGGUUCGUAGAUAUUGCAACUAAUCCUGGAACAGUCAAUGCUAGCUCUUCCAUGAAUGCAGUUCCUUCAGAGCUGUUUACACAAGAGUACUCUCUUCAGAGGAUAUGGCAGGGGAAAUGUUCACAAUCUGCUGCUAGUAAGGUGUUUUUGGCAACUGAUAUUGAUGGAGUGCAUAUCAUUUGUUUUUUACUCCUUGAGCAAAAGACACUGCUUGCCAUAAGGCUUCAAAUAGAUGAGGGUAGUGAUGAAACUCUUGUUUAUAUUAAACCUCAUCUGAGUUGGAGUAUCCCUGCAAUUGCUGCUGCACCGGUGAUUGUGACACGCCCAAGAGUUAAAGUUGGACUUUUAUCAUUCACCGACAUUGUCGUGCUGGAUUCAGAAAACUAUCUUCUUCUAUACUCAGGAAGAGAGUGCCUGUGCAGAUAUUUAUUACCUAAUGGUUUGGGGAAGGGUCCUCUUUCACAUCAUGAGAAGUCUUCGGGGAUAGAAGACAUGUGCUUUGACUUGAAGAUUACAGGUGUAGAGGAUGCUGUUGAAGGGAGGAUAAAUGUAAUUACCAGUAAUGGCCAGAUAUUUAGAUGUUUGUUACGUAGAAACCCUUCGUCAGCUCUGGCAGAUGACUGCAUCACUGCAAUGGCCGAGGGGCUGCAUUCUUCUGUUUAUAGUCAUUUUGCUUCGAGUCUCUGGGGCGAUGAUGAUUCUGCUUACUUGUCUAAUCCCCUUGUUGAUUCAGAAUGGGAGUCUUUUACUCGUGCAGUAAUGAAGAUUUGUACAAGAUGUGGAUGUCUACCUCCAAAACAACCCUCUAAAUUACCUGAUACAGCAUGGGAGUUCUUAAUUAACAGUAAAUUUCACACAUGCUAUUCUAAAAAGGCUUCAGUCUCUGGCAUUUCUCUCAUGAGCGUAGCAAGUUUUGGAGGUGCUGAUUACACAGCUGCCUACAUACAGGAUGAACAAAAUCAGGUGUCAUUUUAUGCUCGGCUUCUAAGGGAAACUCUGGAUUCCUUGCAUGCCCUCUACGAGAAUUUGAAGCUUGAUAAUUUGAGGAAACAAGAUGUGGAGCAUCUUGUUGCUUUAUUAUGUAACAUUGCUGCUGCUUUGGGUGAGGCUGGCUAUGUAGACUACUAUGUUCGUGACUUUCCACAUGUCUUAAUUGAAGUUCAUUCCUUCCCUUCCAACACUGCUCCAAGAACUCCACCAUGCCUUUUCAGAUGGCUUAAAAAUUGUCUGCAGCAAGGAUGCUAUUCUGCUAAUUUAAGUGACCUUUCUCCUCUACUAUAUAAAGAUAAAAGUUAUGCAGUAAGCUGGGCCCGAAAAAUAGUCUCCUUUUAUAGUCUACUAUUAGGUGCAGAAAGAAAAGGCAGGAAACUCUCAACUGGAGUAUAUUGUGAUAUUGCUAAUGGAUCAGCGAGGACGCCUGAAGAACUCACUAUCUUGGCCAUGGUUGGUGAAAGAUUUGGAUGCCAACAACUGGACUUACUGCCUCUUGGUGUAUCUCUCCCCCUGCGUCAUGCACUGGAUAAUUGCCGAGAAUCACCUCCAACUGACUGGCCUGCAGCUGCUUAUGUGCUGGUUGGCCGUGAGGAUUUAGCCAUGGCAUGCUUGGGAACCUUGAGCACAGAUCAUGAAUCUCAGACCAGAGCAAAUUUAAUAUCUAUUUCUGUACCAUACAUGCUUCAUUUGCAACCGGUGACUGUACCUUCAUCAGUUUCUGAAGUCACAAGAUUGGAUGGUAUGAAAUCAGAGGACUCAGAUUCUCCCUGUAAAUCUGUUGAAGAUGGUAUGGAACACAUCUUCAACUCAAGCACGCAAUUGCGUUAUGGCCGUGAUCUGCGGUUAAAUGAGGUCAGACGCCUCCUGUGCUCAGCGAGACCUGUGGCCAUUCAAACAUCUGUUAACCCUAGUGCCUCUGAUCAGGAUGUCCAACAGCAUCAACUAUGGAAUCUCGCGCAGAGGACUACAGCUCUUCCUUUUGGACGUGGGGCGUUUACUCUUGCUACCACUUACACUUUAUUAACAGAGGCGCUUGUUGUUCCAAAGCUUGUUUUGGCUGGCCGAUUGCCUGCACAACAAAAUGCAACAGUAAACAUAGAUCCAAAUGUAAGAAAUAUAUCAGAACUCAGAUGUUGGCCUGAGUUUCACAAUGGGGUUGCUGCUGGAUUGAGACUGGCACCGUUUCAGGGGAAAAUGUCAAGAACAUGGAUACUUUAUAAUAAACCCGAGGAACCAAAUUAUACUCAUGCAGGACUGAUUCUAGCAUUAGGUUUGCAUGAACAUUUACAUGUUCUAACAAUCACUGAUGUAUUUCGAUAUCUUUCCCAGGAGCACGAUAUUACUACUGUUGGAAUAUUGCUUGGCAUGGCAGCAUCUCAUAGGGGCACAAUGAAUCCAGCUAUAUCAAAGGUGCUUUACCUUCAUAUUCCUGCUCGAUAUCCGUCAUCCUUUCCAGAACUGGAAUUGCCAACAAAUUUGCAGUCAGCUGCAUUAAUGUCCAUUGGGCUUCUAUAUGAAGGUUCAGCACACCCUCUGACUAUGAAGAUACUUUUGGGUGAGAUAGGCCGCAGAAGUGGUGGUGAUAAUGUACUCGAAAGAGAAGGAUAUGCUGUUGCUGCAGGAGCUGCAUUAGGACUUGUGGCGUUAGGGCAAGGCAAAGAUGCAUUUGGCUUCAUGGAUACUUUCAUGGAUCGGCUUUUCCAAUAUAUUGGUGAAAGAGGAGUUUCAAAUGAAAGAUCUUUAACUUUGGUGCAAACGACAGAUGAUCACAACCGCAAUGUUGGGCAGAUGAUGGAUGGGGCACAAAUAAAUGUUGAUGUAACUGCGCCUGGAGCUACAAUUGCACUAGCUCUGAUAUUUUUGAAGACAGAAUCUGAAGUAAUGGCAUCUAGACUCCAUAUUCCUAUCACUCACUUUGAUCUGCAGUAUGUGCGGCCUGACUUUAUCAUGCUCCGUAUCAUUGCUCGAAAUUUGAUAAUCUGGAGCAGGAUUCGUCCUUCUAGUGAAUGGAUCGAAUCUCAGAUUCCUGAAAUUGUCAAAGUUGGGAUCUUGAGAUUAGAGGAAGGGGUGAUGGACGGUGAUGAAUACGAUGUAAAUGCUCUUGUUCAGGCAUACGUCAAUAUAGUUGCUGGUGCUUGCAUUUCACUUGGAUUAAAGUAUGCUGGCACAAAAAAUGGCGAUGCCCAAGAGCUGCUUUAUAAUUAUGCUAUUUAUUUUCUCAAUGAGCUUAAGCACGUACCAGUUACGAGUGUUAAUACCUUACCAAAGGGAUUGCUGCAAUAUGUAGAUCGCGGGACUCUGGAGAUUUGCUUGCAUCUUAUUGUUCUUUCUCUCUCUGUGGUUAUGGCAGGUUCUGGACAUCUGCAAACAUUUCGAUUAUUGAGAUACCUUCGUGGUCGAAGAUCUGCAGAUGGGCAUAUAAAUUAUGGAAUUCAGAUGGCAGUAAGCUUGGCCAUUGGAUUCUUGUUUCUUGGUGGUGGUAUGCAAACCUUUUCAACUGGAAACAGUGCGAUUGCUGCAUUGUUGAUCACUCUCUACCCUCGACUGCCUACUGGACCAAAUGACAAUCGUUGCCACCUUCAGGCCUUCAGGCAUUUAUAUGUAAUUGCUGCGGAAUCUCGUUGGGUACAAACAGUAGAUGUUGAUUCAGGUCUGCCUGUUUAUUGCCCCCUCGAAGUGACUGUCAGCGAAACAGAACACUAUGCUGAGACUACCUUUUGUGAAGUGACCCCCUGCAUUCUGCCAGAACGCUCUCUGUUGAAGAGUGUUCAAGUUUGUGGGCCUAGAUAUUGGCCUCAGGUUGUAGAGCUUGCACCUGAAGAUAAGCCUUGGUGGAGAUCGGGAGACAAGAGUGACCCUUUUAAUGGUGGUCUGCUAUAUAUAAAGCGGAAAGUUGGGUCUUGUUCUUAUGUGGAUGACCCAAUUGGAUGUCAGUCUUUGCUUUCCCGGGCAAUGCACAAGGUUUGUCAUGCAUCGGAGUUGUGCAGUCCAACCACAGAAAUCGACAGUAACUGUGAGCCUGGUUCCUUUAAGGUUGAUCAGUUGGUUGGUACGUUUUCUGCUGAUCCAAGCUUGAUAGCUUUUGCCCAACUUUGCUGUGACUCCUACUGGAACAACAGAUCGGAUGCCGAUUUCCAGGAGUUCUGCUCGCAAGUACUAUUUGAGUGUGUUAGCAAAGACAGGCCAGCUCUCCUACAGGUCUAUUUGUCAUUGUACACGAUGAUUGGAUCAAUGUGGGAACAGGUGAAAAGUGGUGCUCUUGUUUUUCAAGAUUCACUUUUUCUUUCCAGUUUAAAACUUGCACUAGCGUACAAUGAGGCUUUGAUCAGUGGCAAACUGUCUUGUAACGGAAGCGGCAUCAUUCAGUUAACAUUCAUGGAAUCCAUCAGGAAACGCAUUGAAGAGAUUCUGGCAAAUUCCAAAAUGCUCAGGCACAACUUUCUCGUCUAUUUAGAUUUGGGGAAGUGGCCCAAUAACCAAAUUGAUGGGGAUUGGAUGGAUGCUGUGCAUCUUUCUUGGUAUCUUCUUUGGUAUGACAUACCACCUCCUUAUGUUGUGAAGUCAGCAAUUCGGAAGAUCAAGCUAAAGACUCCCAUAUCUUUGUCCAUGGUUCCUUUUCUGCAUCUGUUACUGCCAACAACUCAUGCCAAAGGAAUCACUGAGAUUGACAAAUUUAUUUCAAGAGGCUGAAAACUUCUUAGAGCAGGAUGGUUGUGCAUCGCUGAAGGAACAAAUCUUGUCUGGUUGUUCAGUUCUGUCUCGAUGUUAUGGCAAGUAGUUCUUCAUGAGCCUUCUGUUUCAUAGGGUGGAAACUACUAGUUCUUGUCUAUCAUAUGUUCAGCCAAAUUAUCAAAGCCAUGAAAAAAGGGAUACGUCGCUGAGAAUGAGCCCCAAAAGCUGAGGUUUUUGCUGCAGUUUCAGAAAAAAGGUGCAGAAAUCCUAUCAUUUGUAAAUUGUACAUCAUCUUAUCUGAGAUGAGACCGAGUCGACAGGUAAAUUUCUAUUUAUCAAUUAUGUUUAUGUUUUUCUGUUUGUGUUGCGCUAAUCUACUUCAAAAUCAAAAAAAAUACUCUUUUGUUCAAAUUCAGGAACUUGUCAUGAAAAUUUUUUCCACGUAAGCAAUGUACUGGUUUGGCUAUACUGAUUUUUUCUUGCACAAUUGGCUUUGCUUUCUAAUUUCUGUGACAGCCGAACAUAUGAAAGGUGGUGCAGUAGAAUAAGAAUUGGUUGCACCUGCCAAUGCUAAAGUUACCAUCUUCUUCAGGGACAUGCAAUAAUUAUGAAUUUUGCAUUGGAUGCACCAGACGGUAGAAAUCAGUAAAUCCGUUUAGUUGUUGGCUGGGUCCCAAAUUGUUUAUCUGGUGAUAAUAUAAAUUAGGUGAGUUUAAGUGUGAUUGCUGCUCCUUUUCUCUUUCAUUUACAAGUUCCCGUGGCCAUUUUCAUGUCUGUUUUCUUUUUAAAUGACGCUGAGUUGCAGAUAAGAGUGAUGCCACCCUCCACUUUCCCCUUUGAAUUCUGAGGCCCAGGAGAGCGGAAGGGAAUAUUGGAUUAGACGUUCAUGGCAAGGCACGUGUGUAGAAUACAUGAAAUUAUUAUUUUAGGGAAAAAAUCACAGAAGUGGGCUGAAUUUGAUCCAAUAUCGCCUAAUUAAAACUCAAAUUGACCACCCCAAGACGUAGUUGACUAAUUGGACCUUGUCUACCUAAACUAAGCCUACUAAAUCCCCUCCAUCCAUUCAACUUGAACCACUCUUCAUGUUCCGUUCCAGUGACAGGACUUCAAGAAAUGUUGGGGAUGUUCUUCCAAAUAUGUUUCACAACUCAAUCCUAAGAGUAUUCCACGUCCGGAUGUUCAUCUAAACAGAUGACGAGACUUGUGUAACCGUACGAUGUUUAUUUUUUUUU